GACAGAGGGUGCAAGCGUUGUUCGGAAUUACUGGGCGUAAAGGGCGUGUAGGCGGUGAGGUGUGUCUGGUGUGAAAUCCCUCGGCUUAACCGGGGAACGGCAUUGGAAACUACCUUGCUAGAGUGCGAGAGAGGGUGGCGGAAUUCCUGGUGUAGAGGUGAAAUUCGUAGAUACCAGGAGGAACACCGGAGGCGAAGGCGGCCACCUGGCUCGUAACUGACGCUGAGACGCGAAAGCGUGGGGAGCAAACAGG
rnacentral:rRNA from 1 species